rnacentral:rRNA from 1 species
AUGUUUGCUCGCGCCACGGGUGCUUCUCAGUUCUGGAAAGACCUUGUUAAGCUUAGGCCUAUCCUUCAAGGCCUUGUCAAAUUCGUUGUUCACAAUGGCAGAUCCACUAGAUUCUGGCUUGACUGGUGGUGCGGCUCGACUACGCUGGCGAACUAUUUUCAUGUUCUUUUCUCUUACUGCCCUGACCCUGAGAUCUCUAUCUCUGAGCUCUCUGCCAAUAAUUGGGACCUGCAGCUGCGGCGUUCUCUUUCUCCUAAAGAGUUGGUUGACUGGCAGCACCUUGUUGCUCUCUUCCCUGUGCUCUUGGAGGAGGAGGACUCAGUGGUUUGGCCCCACUCCUCUUCUGGCUGUUUUUUCGUGAAAUCUUUACAUGGAAAACUGAUUUCUGGCUCCAAUACUUCCAAAUUCAAGUGGAUCUGGAGGACUCGCAUCCCUCCUAAGAUCAAGAUUUUCCUCUGGCAAGCUUCUCGCGGGCGGUUGCCGGCCGGUGAUCAAAUCCGCAAACGCAAUGGCCCUGGCUCUGACCGAUGUGCCCUUUGUGGGCAAAGAGAGGACACGAAGCAUAUUUUCUUUAACUGUGUUUUGGGUAAACUCUUCUGGUGCUAUAUCAGAUCAUGGUUGCAUGUUUCUUGGAGACCUUCCUCCUUCUCAGACCUUCGACUCUUGGCCAUCAAUCUGGUUGGGGCCUAG